CACACCACGAGAGUUUGUAACACCCGAAGUCGGUGAGGUAACCUUCAUGGAGCCAGCCGCCUAAGGUGGGACAGAUGAUUGGGGUGAAGUCGUAACAAGGUAGCCGUAUCGGAAGGUGCGGCUGGAUCACCUCCUUUCUAAGGAUAAUUACGAGAGCGCUUUUGUUUUGUUCAGUUUUGAAUGAGUAAUUCAUUCAAAUAGGAAAGACACGCAUCACGAUGUGAUGUCAUUCUUUCUGCUUUGUUCCUUGAAAACUAGAUAAUAGAUAGAAGGCAAUUAAUUUUUUUCAAAGCAUCUGUAAGAUCUUUUUUAACGGUUAAGUUAGAAAGGGCGCACGGUGGAUGCCUUGGCACUAGGAGCCGAUGAAGGACGGGACUAACACCGAUAUGCUUCGGGGAGCUGUAAGUAAGCUUUGAUCCGGAGAUUU
rnacentral:misc_RNA from 1 species